CAUUGUUGUCACUUUCAUCCACUGCAGCCGUGCUGGUUUCGCACGCAGGGGGAGUCAACCUUCUGGGGCAUCAUGAAGCUACUCCAUCUUAUCUUCUCUGCCCUCUUGACCAUAGCUCUGGCUUCUCCAGGUUUCGCCAACGUGCCUGAUGAAAACCUCAGAUGCAUACUUAAUGGAGGUCACUGCAAUUAUAGUUAUUGCCGCCGUCCAAUGAGACAAAUCGGAAUAUGCAAGAAUGGCAGCAGAUGCUGUAAACUGUUUUUGGGCUGAAUGCCCAGCUGAGGGUUUGGAAUCCAAGAAGCUGCAUCGCCGUAACUCACCAUUGCCACCAGAUGCUCCUUCUUCGACAUCAGUCUUCAUGGAUCUUCAUCAACCUCUGACUUUCCUCCUCUGCUGCAAA